UACGAGGGGGGCUAGCGUUGCUCGGAAUUACUGGGCGUAAAGGGCGCGUAGGUGGCCAACUAAGUCAGACGUGAAAUCCCUCGGCUUAACCGGGGAACUGCGUCUGAUACUGGAUGGCUUGAGUUUGGGAGAGGGAUGCGGAAUUCCAGGUGUAGCGGUGAAAUGCGUAGAUAUCUGGAGGAACACCGGUGGCGAAGGCGGCAGCCUGGCCCAACACUGACGCUGAGGAGCGAAAGCCAGGGGAGCAAACGGG
rnacentral:rRNA from 1 species